UAACGACUCUCGGCAACGGAUAUCUCGGCUCUCGAAUCGAUGAAGAACGUAGCGAAAUGCGAUACGUGGUGUGAAUUGCAGGAUCCCGUGAACCAUCGAGUUUUUGAACGCAAGUUGCGCCCGAAGCCGUCAGGCUGAGGGCACGUCUGCCUGGGCGUCACGC
rnacentral:rRNA from 3 species